UAAUUGAAGAGUUUGAUCAUGGCUCAGAUUGAACGCUGGCGGCAGGCCUAACACAUGCAAGUCGAACGGAAACAUGUCUAGCUUGCUAGAUGAUGUCGAGUGGCGGACGGGUGAGUAAUGCUUGGGAACUUGCCUUUGCGAGGGGGAUAACAGUUGGAAACGACUGCUAAUACCGCAUAAUGUCUUCGGACCAAACGGGGCUUCGGCUCCGGCGCAAAGAGAGGCCCAAGUGAGAUUAGCUAGUUGGUGAGGUAAAGGCUCACCAAGGCAACGAUCUCUAGCUGUUCUGAGAGGAAGAUCAGCCACACUGGGACUGAGACACGGCCCAGACUCCUACGGGAGGCAGCAGUGGGGAAUAUUGCACAAUGGGGGAAACCCUGAUGCAGCCAUGCCGCGUGUGUGAAGAAGGCCUUCGGGUUGUAAAGCACUUUCAGUUGUGAGGAAAAGUUAGUAGUUAAUACCUGCUAGCCGUGACGUUAACAACAGAAGAAGCACCGGCUAACUCCGUGCCAGCAGCCGCGGUAAUACGGAGGGUGCGAGCGUUAAUCGGAAUUACUGGGCGUAAAGCGCACGCAGGCGGUUUGUUAAGCUAGAUGUGAAAGCCCCGGGCUCAACCUGGGACGGUCAUUUAGAACUGGCAGACUAGAGUCUUGGAGAGGGGAGUGGAAUUCCAGGUGUAGCGGUGAAAUGCGUAGAUAUCUGGAGGAACAUCAGUGGCGAAGGCGACUCCCUGGCCAAAGACUGACGCUCAUGUGCGAAAGUGUGGGUAGCGAACAGGAUUAGAUACCCUGGUAGUCCACACCGUAAACGCUGUCUACUAGCUGUUUGUGACUUUAAGUCGUGAGUAGCGAAGCUAACGCGAUAAGUAGACCGCCUGGGGAGUACGGCCGCAAGGUUAAAACUCAAAUGAAUUGACGGGGGCCCGCACAAGCGGUGGAGCAUGUGGUUUAAUUCGAUGCAACGCGAAGAACCUUACCUACACUUGACAUGUUGAGAAGUUAC
rnacentral:rRNA from 1 species